rnacentral:rRNA from 1 species
CAAUAGCGUAUAUUAAAGUUGUUGCAGUUAAAAAGCUCGUAGUGUAAUUAGAGUGCCGGAGCGUCGGGUCCGACUUUAACUAGUUGUGCACUCAUUUCGCGUCCGGCCUUUCUCGCGGCGAACGUGCCUGGCAUUAGGUUGUCGGGUUCGGGAGCCGCGUCGUUUACUGUGAAAAAUUAGAGUGUUCAUAGCAGGCUUACGCCGUUGAAUACAUUAGCAUGGAAUAAUAAGAUAGGACUUUGGUGAUCUAUUUUGUUGGUUUGCACACCAAGGUAAUGAUUAAUAGGGACAGUUGGGGGUAUUCGUAUUCAAUUGUCAGAGGUGAAAUUCUUGGAUUUAUGGAAGACGAACUACUGCGAAAGCAUUUACCAAGGAUGUUUUCAUUUAUCAAGAACGAAAGUUAGGGGGAUCGAAAGACGUAGUACUUAGGAUUAACCCGUACUUGUAGGAACGUACGUCCGAACCGGAACGGACCAACCAACGGGGAAGGGGUAAGUA